ensembl:snoRNA
UGCAGCCUUGUCAAAUUUAGUGUUUACUUCUCAGUAGAUCACACUGGCCAAAAUGGCUGCCACAGUACAUUUUUAGUCCUCGAGCCUCAUGAUCUUGCCUUGUGGCUAUUGUGGAUAGAAGUGGCUAUAUACAGUU